GACCGAUAUGUGAAGCUAGAAUGCCACUGAUUGUUUCUACGUAAAAUCUUCUCCCUCCAUAACGAAGAAAAAAGAAAAAUGCUGUAUUUCUCUUUACAGAUCCCUAAAUGAAUAUGGAUUAGAAGAAUGAAGAACCAGUCAGAGAAAGCAACUUUGUGAAAUGAAGAUGGUGUGUCUUCCAUGAACUUGGAAAUUUAAGAUCAGUUCUGGAGAAGCAGACCAUCUAUAAAAAGAAAAUGGAUGUAUUCUCUUCGGUGUUUAUUGCAGUCCUGAGUAUUUUAAGAUUGGUAUGUGUCCAGAAGUAAGUGGAAUGUAAGUAUGUAAUGUUAUAAUCAGCUUUAUUAGGGGAAAGUUUUAGUGACUUCAGUGAUUUUGUAUUCAUUUUCCAAAAUUAUUUAUUAUUACAGUAACAGAUUAGUGCUCUUUCAUGAUAUGGAUAUUAUAAAAUACAACCAUGUGGGUGUAUGUGUGGCAUGCAGCCAAAUUAGCUUUGCAGCCACCCUGCCGGUUCAAGCCCAUCAUGCCAGACGACUACCAAGCAGGGCUGCUAGCUAAGUGUUGCUAACUACGAACAGUAUUGACUAGUGUCCCCCGUAUUGUUAACUAAAAUUAUCAUCUUGUGGAGGAACUAGCAUUUAUAUAUAUAGGCAUAGCAUCAGCCUCCACCUAAAUUGUUUUAUAUGUAGAAGUCGAUAAGAUGAGUGGAAGUAUAAGUUGAAGUGAUUUAUGAAUAUCUGAAUCUCAUUAUUUGGUAUUAUAUUUUAGGUUCAGUAGUUAGUUAAUAAAACUAGCCAAAAACAGUACAUUUCCCCAGAAUGCUGCAUUUUGAACUUGCUAUUGUGAAAUUGAUAGAAUGCCUUAUAUGAUGUAGCUUAUGAUUAAUAAAAUAUGCAAACCUA